CAGUAGCCACGGUAAUACGGAGGGUGCAAGCGUUAAUCGGAAUUACUGGGCGUAAAGCGCACGCAGGCGGUCUGACAAGUCAGAUGUGAAAUCCCCGGGCUUAACCUGGGAACUGCAUUUGAAACUGUCAGGCUGGAGUCUUGUAGAGGGGGGUAGAAUUCCAGGUGUAGCGGUGAAAUGCGUAGAGAUCUGGAGGAAUACCGGUGGCGAAGGCGGCCCCCUGGACAAAGACUGACGCUCAGGUGCGAAAGCGUGGGGAGCAAACAGGAUUAGAUACCCGUGUAGUCCCUGUCUCUUAUAC
rnacentral:rRNA from 1 species